ensembl:snRNA U6 U6 spliceosomal RNA
GUGCUUGCUUCGACAGCACAUAUACUAAAAUUGGAAGGAUACAGAGAAAAUUAGCAUGGCCCCUGGGCAAGUAUGACACGCAAAUUUGUGAAGCGUUCCAUGUUAAA